rnacentral:misc_RNA from 1 species
GUGGAAGGGAAUGCUCCACGCCCUGGAGGAAAAGCAAAACCUUGGAAGCAGUACUUGAGGUAAACAAGCAUCUUGUACCCAAGAGCAAUAGCACUUUCUCUUUUGCUAUCGCGCAAAAUUAAAAAGAGCUCUUCCAAUGGAGUCCUAAAAUCAUCAAGGCCUUUGUUGAACAAAUAGAUCAAUGCACCAUGCAGCCUAUGCUCCCUGCAUAGGCGAACAACCUGAUUGAAAUCCAGGGACAACAUGUCCAUGUGGAGAACACACUGUUCAACACGCUGUAACCAACCUUUAGUGCUAUAGUGCUCCACUAGUGCUUGCAUUAUCUCAGGUGGUAAAGAUCCUAGCAUGUCUUUCAAUAUAUAUGGCUCCAGAAGUUCCAAAAAUGUAUCCUUGUGAUUCACUGCAACAUACUUUGGAAAAAUUUCAUCAAAGAGAACAUCAAGUCUCUUAAUAUGAAGACAGAAUUCAACAGAAACACCACCAACCAGAGUGUACUGCUCCUUAAUAUCAGGAUUCACAAAGUCAGCAUCAUACUUCAAUUCAUUUGAUUGGCCUGGCUGCCCAUGUGGAUUGCCAGAUGUCACUGCUAUGUAGGAGAACACCUCAUCUACAUAUGACAACAGCAAUUGUACAAGAUAUGGCACAAGGGUCUUCUGGACAUCAUCCAAAUUCUUUGGAAGGUCAAUAACAGCAUGUGCUUGACCAUCAUAAAGAGACAUUGCCAUGUUCAGUGCACUCGUCCAGUCACCUGCUUUAUGUAAAACUUCUACACGUUCCUUCCAGGAAAGAAGGCGUGAAACAACAAGCUGGGAUGGCCGAAGAAUGUACAAAGUUGCCCCCCUGACACCUAAACAAUUGUGAUGAGCUUUCUCAGGAUUUCCAAAGACAUUGCUGAAGUAGGAAUGGUAUGACAUGAGAUUCUCUCCACAAGAUCCAUCCAUAGAAAAACUUCUCUGAUGGAUCAAAUUCCCAUCUUUUGAAAACAAACAAAGCUGUCCAGUUGCUGUGAGAAUUACCAAAAUCUGUUCGUCCAACCAUGCCAGCCCAACUGCUGAGCUAUCCGUAGUCCAUCUCCAACAGACUUUUAGCUCAGAUUUCACCAGCUUUGCAACCUGAACUCUUCGAUCCCAAGCAAUUGCAAGCAGUGAAACUUUUUCAUAUGUUUCAGUAGUAAUACUUUCUGAUUUCCAAGCAGCAUAGGGCAUUGAACCCUCCCUAGCACCAUCAGGACGUGGAAUUUUAGCAUAAACUUUAAAUGUGGGGCUUAAUUUUGCCACUAGAGCAUAUUGGUGUGUGCCAAGUAUGACCACACCUUCCUCAAUCAAAGAAGGGCUGCCUCCCUCUUGAGAAGCCACCAUAGCACUUCCAUAACUUUCACCAGAUAGUAGCGACACCGCACAUAAUGUAGUGCUGUUGCUUUCAUUUAGCAGUUCCUGCGACUUCGAAAGGGAGAUUCUAUUGAACAAGGGGAACACUGUAAACCGGUCUAAGUUAACUACACCUUUA